UUUUUUUUUUUUUUUUUUUUUUUUUUUUUUUAAGAUUGGCAGAGACACACAAGGAUCCCAAGACCUUGGGAUCACACCCUGAGCCAAAGGUAGACACUCAACCACUGAGCUACUCAAGCCUCCUGAUUCUUUUUUUCUAUUGAAUAAUUUCCCUAAUUAAAAAUAUUAAUGGUCAGGAUUUGAAAUAGCUAGAUGAGGGUAGAAGCAUGUUUAGAAUUUUAAGAAGUCUUUAUUAAACCUUAAAAAUGUAUACCAAAAUAUAUGUAGUUGUGAAUCUUUAAAAAGAGAGUGGUAGAAACAGGCUUCCUAUGUCUGUCCUAUGUCCUAUGACAGUCCAAGACUGCCAACACUGAAACGGCCUAGAAGUAGCAUGUGAUUUGUAAGAUUAUUUUUUUUUUCUUUUCUUUUCUUUUUUUUUAAGAUUUAUGUAUUUAUUUUAGACUGAGAGAGCGAGCAUGGGGGGAAGCCACAGAGGGAGAGGGAGAGAGAAAUUUCAGUAGACUUUACUCCUGUCACAGGGCUCAAUCCCAUCAUACUGAGACCACAAUUUGAGCUGAAACCAAGAGUUAGAUAUUCAACCCACAGCAGGUGUUUCUGUGAGAUUAUUUUUCAUGUGUAAUAGAAAUAGAUUUAUUAAAUAAUAAAAAUAUUUUUAUUGUAUAGCCACACUUCGAAAAGAACAAACACAGCAAAAACAUUAAACUGAUACAUAAAUGAAUGAUUAAAUAUUUAAUGACUAUUAUUUUAAUACAUUUUUUUAUUUUUUUAUUUUUUAUUUUUUUAAAGAUUUUAUUUAUUUAUUCAUGAGAGACACAGAGAGAGAGAGAGGGAGGCAGAGACACAGGCAGAGGGAGAAGCAGGCUCCAUGCAGGGAGCCUGAUGUGGGACUCGAUCCCGGGUCUCCAGAAUCGUGUCCUGGACUGAAGGCGGCGCUAAACCGCUGAGCCACCGGGACUGCCCUAAAUACAUUUUAGAGGUAAACAGCAUAUACUUCUAUAUUCAGAUUGAGGUGAGAAAAAUUAGAUAUUCUGUUCAUUUAUUCUUCUGAAUCUUUUCAAUAAACUGGGUAGGGAUAGAUAACCUUUCUCUGCGUGUGUUGAGACUUCUGUGGUGUCGUCAGGUGAAGGUUAAGACUUGAGUAUGUUAAAAUCAAUUACAUAAAGAUUUUUGGGGUGCCUGGGUGGCUUAGUCAGUUAAGGAUUUGCUUUCUGCUCAGGUCAUGAUCCCAGAGUCAUGGGAUCUAGCCCUGCGUCAGGCUCCCUCCCUGCUUUGCAGAGAGAGCCUGCCUCUCCUUCCCCCUCUGCUACUCCCUCUGCUUGUGCUCUCAAUCUCUCUCUGUCAAGUAUAUAAAUCAAAUCUUUUUUUUUUUUUUUUUUUAAAGCCUAGCUUUCUGUUUUGGGGCAGAAGAAGAGGAAAAAUAAAGAUAGGUAAAUGUUAAUUACUGAAAGAUUUCUUAUAUAAUUGUAUAUCUUGACCUAUCCCACAAUUUAACACUGGUAGGUGUUCUCUAAGUAUAAAUAUGGUGGAGAUUUUCCCUGUGCAUAUUUACUGAAAUGGUGACUUGUAGAGAAAUAGCACAUAACCAAUAUAUUAGUUGAAUUGUGUUUUCAUAAAAUGUGAUAUUGCUUUUUAUAUAUGUAAUUUGAAUACGUUUCCUAGUUUCAAGAUGAUUUUAAAGAAUUACCUUUCCUUGUAAAAGCCACUUAGGAUUUUUAUGCGAAGCUUUAAGAUUUAUCUGGCUUUAUCUAGUGUCAUUUGAAUUUUAUAUAUAUUUUUUUCUUGCAUUUGCAAGUACCCAGUGAACCAUGUGUAAAAAUUGUUACCAUGAUGAAGGAAUGCCUUUGCUACUUUUAUGCUAUUAGCUUUAGAGCUUUAAAUAUAGUAUGCAGUUUUAACUAUAUAGUCUUAAUUACCUUGUAUUUUUUCCAAAAAA
rnacentral:lncRNA from 1 species